rnacentral:rRNA from 1 species
AGCGAACGCUGGCGGCAGGCCUAACACAUGCAAGUCGAACGAACUCUUCGGAGUUAGUGGCGGACGGGUGAGUAACACGUGGGAACGUGCCUUUAGGUUCGGAAUAACUCAGGGAAACUUGUGCUAAUACCGAAUGUGCCCUUCGGGGGAAAGAUUUAUCGCCUUUAGAGCGGCCCGCGUCUGAUUAGCUAGUUGGUGAGGUAAAGGCUCACCAAGGCGACGAUCAGUAGCUGGUCUGAGAGGAUGAUCAGCCACAUUGGGACUGAGACACGGCCCAAACUCCUACGAGAGGGAGCAGUGGGGAAUCUUGCGCAAUGGGCGAAAGCCUGACGCAGCCAUGCCGCGUGAAUGAUGAAGGUCUUAGGAUUGUAAAAUUCUUUCACCGGGGACGAUAAUGACGGUACCCGGAGAAGAAGCCCCGGCUAACUUCGUG